rnacentral:lncRNA from 1 species
AUGAGUGACAGCUGCCAUUAUUAUUGCCAUCAUUGUUAUUUGUAUUAUGAUAUUGUUCCUGGGAUCAGGUUGAAAGAAGAUCUUCAGGUGUUACUGUGUGGGCAGGCGCUGUCCACGCCCCGAGGCCUGGGCUCAGGCCGAAGUUGCUCCACAGCACCCCCAGCUGACAGCCAGCGACUGGCAGAGCCCCCAGGCACGGGGGCCCUCUCUCUUCCAGGUCAGCCGGGUGUCUGCGCUGGAUGGAGCGCUGAGGGAGCCGGGGGUGGUACCUGGAGGAGGCCGGGCCAGUGGGCAGGGGUUGAGCUGUGGCCACUAGACCAUUUGGGGAAUUCAAAUCUAUUUCCUGUCUUAUUGCCCACAGAGAUCUCCAGUGUGACAGCCCAGGCGGCAGAGCCGAGGGUAAGUGGUGGGGGUUCUCCUGGAGCCCUUUGGGGGUAAGGAGCAGGAAGGCUGUGCCCUUGUUAGAGCUUCCUGGCCUUCUCCUUAAGUUUGAUCACCCUGCUGAUGUGCUUCCCUCUCAGAGGCAGGGGUCCUGUUCUUUCUGAGCACAUAGCCAGAUUUCCAAAGGGGAUGAGCUGUCAAUAAGUGAAGCUGGGCCAGGCAUGGUGGCUCACGCCUGUAAUCCCAGUACUUUGGGAGGCCAAGGCGGGUGGAUCAUCUGUGGUCAGGAGCUCAAGACCAGCCUGGCCAACAUGGUGAAACCCCGACUCUACUAAAAUACAAAAAUUAGCCAGGCGUGGUGGCGCGUGCCUGUAAUCCCAGGUACUUGGGAGGCUGACACCUAAGAAUCACUUGCACUAGGAGGCAGAGGUUGCAGUGAGCUGAGAUCACACUACUUCACUCUAGCCUGGGUGACAGAGUGAGACUCUCUUUCAAAAAAAAAAAAAGUGAAACUGGGGCCCAUGAGGGGCUUGCUGUACAUAUGGUGGUUUGAGAAAGGCUGGGAGUCAGCAAGGGGAUUGGGCUUGGGGUGGGGAUGGGAGCUUGGUAAGGAGAUGAGACCUCAGGAGGGAGGGGUCCAGGAGCUCAUCGAGGAUAUGGGAAGCUGAUGAGGAUGUAGGUGUUCAGUAAGGGACCUCCUGCUCUUCCUGCCUGGCAGGUCCUAGUCCCGGCUUCUCGCACCCUCAUGUCAGCCCCGGCCCCGCCCGGCGGCCUGCGGAGGACAAGGUCAGGAUGCGUGUGAAGCCCCAGGGCCUGGUGGUGACUUCCAGUGCCGUGUGCAGCUCUCCUGACUACCUCCGGGAGCCCAAGUACUACCCCGGCGGCCCCCCCACCCCCCGGCCCCUGCUUCCCACCCGGCCCCCUGCCAGCCCACCCGACAAGGCCUUCUCCACCCACGCCUUCUCCGAGAACCCACGCCCACCCCCACGCUGGGACCCCAGCACCCGGCCACCAGUCCUUGCCAGGACCCGCUGCCCCCACGGGCAGCCCGUCCUGUCUCACAGGCCCGCUGCCCCACACCGGCCGGAGACGGCAGCAGCUCCCGACGCUGCUGGGACAACGGGCGGGUGAACCUGCGACCAG